UACGUAGGUGGCGAGCGUUGUCCGGAAUCAUUGGGCGUAAAGGGAGCGCAGGCGGGCAUGUAAGUCUUUCUUAAAAGUGCGGGGCUCAACCCCGUGAUGGGAAAGAAACUACAUGUCUUGAGUACAGGAGAGGAAAGCGGAAUUCCCAGUGUAGCGGUGAAAUGCGUAGAUAUUGGGAGGAACACCAGUGGCGAAGGCGGCUUUCUGGACUGCAACUGACGCUGAGGCUCGAAAGCCAGGGGAGCGAACGGG
rnacentral:rRNA from 1 species